rnacentral:rRNA from 1 species
AGAGUUUGAUCAUGGCUCAGGAUGAACGCUGGCGGCGUGCCUAAUACAUGCAAGUCGAGCGAAUGGAUUAAGAGCUUGCUCUUAUGAAGUUAGCGGCGGACGGGUGAGUAACACGUGGGUAACCUGCCCAUAAGACUGGGAUAACUCCGGGAAACCGGGGCUAAUACCGGAUAACAUUUUGAACCGCAUGGUUCGAAAUUGAAAGGCGGCUUCGGCUGUCACUUAUGGAUGGACCCGCGUCGCAUUAGCUAGUUGGUGAGGUAACGGCUUACCAAGGCAACGAUGCGUAGCCGACCUGAGAGGGUGAUCGGCCACACUGGGACUGAGACACGGCCCAGACUCCUACGGGAGGCAGCAGUAGGGAAUCUUCCGCAAUGGACGAAAGUCUGACGGAGCAACGCCGCGUGAGUGAUGAAGGCUUUCGGGUCGUAAAACUCUGUUGUUAGGGAAGAACAAGUGCUAGUUGAAUAAGCUGGCACCUUGACGGUACCUAACCAGAAAGCCACGGCUAACUACGUGCCAGCAGCCGCGGUAAUACGUAGGUGGCAAGCGUUAUCCGGAAUUAUUGGGCGUAAAGCGCGCGCAGGUGGUUUCUUAAGUCUGAUGUGAAAGCCCACGGCUCAACCGUGGAGGGUCAUUGGAAACUGGGAGACUUGAGUGCAGAAGAGGAAAGUGGAAUUCCAUGUGUAGCGGUGAAAUGCGUAGAGAUAUGGAGGAACACCAGUGGCGAAGGCGACUU